GCCGGGCGUGGUGGCGGACGCCUGUAAUCCCAGCUAUUUGGGAGGCUGAGGCAGGAGAAUCGCUUGAACCUGGGAGGCAGAGGUUGCAGUGAGCCGAGAUCAUGCCGCUGCAGUCCAGCCUGGGCUAUAGAGUGAGACUCUGUCUCAG
rnacentral:SRP_RNA from 1 species